GCGCUUCUGACACUGGCCCUCAGAAGGCCAUGGGCUCACCAAGGGCUGCCAGUUCGCAGAAGUCCCUCACCUUUGUUCCACACCUGCUGACUUUCUAAACUGCUGUCCUCUGGACUGUGCUAGGUACACAUGACAGCACCUUGGCAGCCAUGUCUUUCAGAGCCCCGUUAUGCAAUGCCAUGGCCCUAGAAGCAGAAGGAACCAUCAAAGAACCAGGCUAAAGGACUUUGGGACCAACAGGCAUUCAGGAAUGCACCUGGCCAGGAGCUAAGGGGCCACCAGCUGACAAGAGUUGCCACCAGACACGCCAGGUAGAAGAUGUCAGCUGGCAAUGGCCAUGCCAGCCUAAGCUACCUCUGUGGAGUGAACAAUGUAGCCCAGAAGAGCCAGCACAGAUCCCUCCCACCUAUCAGCCCUGUCUUCCCCCAUCUUGAUGCAUGUCCCAGUAUGAUUCUCAGUGGCCAUUGGAAUAUUGCAGCUGCAAGCAAAGGUGACUUCAGCUGGGGGAUUUGUCACACGCGUCCGUGUGAAGAGACCACCAAACAGGCUUUAUGUGAGCAAUAAAGCUUUUUAAUCACCUGGGUGCAGGCGGGCUGAGUCUGAAAAGAGUCGGCAAAGGGUGGUGGGAUUAUCAU
rnacentral:lncRNA from 1 species